AUUGAACGCUGGCGGCAGGCUUAACACAUGCAAAUUGAGAGAGCGGCGGACGGGUGAGUAAUGUCUGGGACACUGCAUGAUGGAUGGGGAUAACUACGGGAAACGGUAUCUAAUACCGCCUACCAUCAGAUCUCCCCAGACGGGAUUAGCUAGUAGGUGGGGUAAUGGCUCACCUAGGCGACGAUCCCUAGCUGGUCUGAGAGGAUGACGUGCCACACUGGAACUGUGAAACGGUCCAGACGACUACGAGAGGCAGCAGGGGGGAAGAAUGAACAGUGGGCGCAAGCCUGAUGCAGCCAAGGCGCGUGUGGGAGGAAGUACUUCGUGUUGUAAAACACUUUCGGCGAGGAGGGGUAACUCUCUGAAGAAGCACCGGCUAACUCCGUGCCAGCAGCCGCGGUAAUAC
rnacentral:rRNA from 1 species